rnacentral:lncRNA from 1 species
UAAUAUUCUGCCUAAUGCUUUCUCACCUGCGACUCAAUUAGUCACACUUGCGGUCUCGCGCUUCUACGGUUUUUCCAAGGCUCCGCUGCAUCCGCUUCUGUGAUCCUCCACGCGCAGGUGCGAGUCUGCACCUGUGGAAAUUCUUCUGCAUCCACGCUCCACAUCCCCUGAUCCAAACUCCGCCUCUGCGCCCUAGUCGUCGCAUCUGCGGCCACGCAUGUGCGGCAAUUCCCUCGCACCUACGACCCCUGCACGCCCAACUCCAUAUCGCAUAUGUGUUUCCCCUGCUCGCACCUGCGAGCUCGCACCUGCGAUUACCACUCCGCAGGUGCGAUUGCACCAGAACUGGUAUGUUUCAACAGCCUCUCAACUUUUAAUGUUGAUCCGGUAACCAUCUGAACUCCACCCGAGGCCCCCGAGACCUCAAUCAAAUAUACCAAGAAGUCCUAAAACACGAUACGAACAUAGUCGAGCCUUCAAAUCAUAUCAAUCGAGCUACGAUUCAAGCCUAAUGAACUUUGAACUUCAAAUUUCCACAUUCGAUACUGAAACCUAUCAAAUCACGUCCGAUUGACCUUAAAUUUUGCACACAAAUCACAAAUGACACUGCGGACCUACUCCAACUCUCGGAACCCCAAUCCGAGCCUUGUAACCAUAAUGUCCACCCUCUGUCAAACUUUUAAAUUUUCAACUUUUGCUAUUUGAAACCUAAUUCAACUACGGACCUCCAAUUCACCAUCCGGAUACACUCCUAAGUCGAAAAUCACCCAACGGAGCUAACGGAACCAUCAAAACCCCAUUUCGGAGUCGUCUACACAUAAGUCAGCAUCCAGUCAACCUUUUUAACUUAAGCUUCCCACCUUGAGACUAAGUGUCUUAGCUCAUUCCGAGACCUUCCUGGAACCGAACCAACUACUCCAGCAAGUCAUAUAAUAACAAUUAAGUAGGAAAAGAGCAGUAAAUGGGAAAAUAGGGCUACAACUCUCAAAACUACUGACCGGGUCAUUACACAAAAUAACACUCUUUGCGACCAUCCUUUGAAGUUGGCUCCAAAAUAUUUCCCCGAUUUUUCGAUCGGUGGUACAACAGUUCGAAUUGACGAGGCUAUCUUCGUUGCCACAAUAGUCGCAGAAAAAUUUCUAUUAUCAAUUGCCAUUUCUCACUGUCCAAAACAGAAGAGUUCAAUUAAUGGCAAAAAAUAUAACAUUAAAUAAUAUUGUAAAUAAUGAUAAGCAGUACGUUAAAUAUACAAAAAUCAAAGUUUUGUAUAUACUGUUUCACAAUAAAACGAUGAAGUUUUUAUGUUCUUCAAAUCGUUUCUGAAUUUUAAUACUCCCCUGAAGUUUUUAUAUCUUCAAAUCAGAAAUAGAAAAAUUCAGACGGAGUGAAAAAUCGCAAAGGUUUUAAUCUCCAAAGCAGAAUAUAGAAUACAAUAUAUUAAUAAUUUCCUUAAGAUAGUUAGUCAAACUGUAAUACUAUAAAAUAUAUGAAACAACAAGUUUUCUAAAACAAAAAAAAACAGAAACAGAAAAAUAGUAGUAUAGUAGAAAUUUAAAUAAUCAGAAACAGAAUCUAAAAAUAUAUUUUAGAAUGAAAUCGAGCCCACUGAAUGCACAGUGUGCUCUUAAGAAAAUUAUUCCACUCAAGUACCUGAGUUUUAGAAUAUUAUCCUCCCAUGAUAUAACGACUUAACUCACCAGUGUAUUAGUACCAAAAACUCUGAUAAACUUCGAACCACUUAAUGGUUGUAAAAUACACUAGACAAUUUCGUGUAGAAGAAGAAGGAAAAGAUCGAAAAAAUUUGUAAGGAAAGAUUCUGGGAUCAAGGCAUAUUUAUAGUCAUUUUCUGGUAUUAUUUCUGAAAAACAGCCAUAGCUGUUAGAAUAGGCGGGAACGAGAAUCGUUUAAAAUAUUCGCGGGUCCUGGGUUAUUCCUGGUGGACUUUUAGUUAAUUAAUUAAAUAAUUGAAAGACAUUUUGUCCAAAAAGAUUAAUUAAUUGAUCUAUGACCAAAGCCGUAGCCGAAGCCGAGUGAGAAGCGACGACGACGACGACGCGAGGCUUACAUUCUUUCCAACCUAUUUAACACCAAGGAAAGUGUUUUAUCAAUAUAAGCACAUUUACUUUUUUUUCCUCCACCAAUGAGGGACAUUUGUUCUUUCCAAAGCAAAAGGAAGAUUAUUUUCCCUUCACUUUCUUCCCUCCAUUUUUCAUUCACCAAUCUUUUAAUCCCAACAAAAAUCUCUUAUAAGUCUACCUCUGGAAGGGGCUUGGAAAGUAAUGAUUUAAGCCAAAAGUGCGUUGAAGUGAAAUUUGCUUCAACAUCAUUAAUAAAUGCAGAAGAAAUGAAAAACCAAAAUGUAGUUUCUAUCAAGCAAUACUGUCUGAAAUAUAUAACCAAGCUAAUAAAUAUAAGAUAUGUGUUUUUACACACACUUUUAUCACUUAAAAUACUCUAGUUUUAAUUUAAUCAACUAAGAUUAAAUUGUUUGAUUUGGUGCAAACAAUUAAUGUAUUUGUCACAAAAUACAGAUAGUUGGAUCUUGCUAUUUCUAUGGGAUUCCAGUCUAGGAAACAACGGAACAGAAAAUAGUUACUUAGUAUUUUUAAAGGGACUCCAUAAUAGUAAGUCAAGUAAAAAACUAUAACCUAGAAAUCUACAAUGCAAUUCGAUGGUAUUAAAUAGCGUUAAAAGGUUAUGGAUUUGAACUACAAAUGAAUGUGCUCGGGGUUAUUUUGAAUAUUUAAUAUCACAUUUGAGUUCAUUAUUAACUAUCUGAAAUUGUGGAGUAAAAUUAUUUUUCUUUCAUUUGUAACAGAAAAGUCAUUCAACUAUCCAUGCUGCACUUUAAUGAUCACUCAGUCGGAUUUCUUAAUCUUCCCCAUAGAACAAGCUGAUGUGGCAAUCCACAAAGAUUUUAUUAUAUUUUUGGACUACAUAAAAUAAUUAAAACCCAAAGAAAUAUUGAAAUCCACGAUUUCACUCAUACACCCAAGUCAAGUUCGAGUUGUAUGACGAUUAAUAAAAUUUCGCAAUAAGAGCAUAACGUGUUAACCCUCUUGUUACGCGACAUGUAUGUUUUCAAAUCCCAUUACUCUGUUAGAUCUAGUUCUUCAGUAAAUCUAAAGUUGUCAAUAUGGGUCGAGAUGGGUUAGCCCGGCCCAUGUGGGCUUUAGCAAUUGACGGGCUGGGCUGGGAUAGCGCACCAUUUUGAUGGACCUUAUAAUGGUCAGCCCAACCCAGCCCUAUGUGGGCCACGGGCCCCCACGGGACGACCCAUCAUUUUUAACAUAUAAUUUUAUAUUUUUUCUUUAAGUUCUAACCUUAGAAAAGAUAAAUAUUUAAAAGUUAAAAAGUAUGUUAUUGGAAAAAUAUCGCAAAACUUAAUAACUUUUUAUAUUGUUCCAAUAUAUUACCAUAAACACUAAAAAAGUAAACGAAAAUACUAUAUUUCAUUCACUAAAAGUCAAAACUCAAAAAAACUAUAAAAGAACGUCAAUGAUGCUUGUGGGAUAUCCAACACAUCAUCUUCAUCAAACACAUUUGAAUCCGCUUGUGACAAGGUUGUCUUAACAUCUUUACUUUCAUCUACGUCUACAAUUAAUAUGCAAUAUCAAGAAUAAUUAAAUUUUAUAAACUAAUAAUAUUCAAAUUCAUAUAAAAAACAUAUAACCAGUUUGAGUUUGGGAUAAGUCGUGCAACCAAUUGCUAGUAGUAACAAGUGUUUGGACAUUAUGAUGAUGGAUGCAACUUCUAUACUUUGUCAGAAAACGUCCAUCAAUGCUAAAUGUUGAUUAUGAUGCUACAAUGGUAAUAGGAGUGUGUAAGAGGGGGAGGAUGUAUUUGAGAGUUGUAGCCCUGUUUGCUGCUCAUUUUGUACUUUAUAGCUAUUAUGUGACUUGCCGGAGUGGUCGGUUUGGGUCCGGUGAGAAUUUAGGAUAAAAUGAGAUAUUUAGUCUCACGGUUGAAAACUUAAGUUGAAAUGAUUGACCGGAUAUUGAUCUUUAAGUAAUUGACUCCGGAACGAAAUUUUGAUGGUUUCGUUAGCUCCGCUAGGUGAUUUUGGAUUUAGAAGCAUUUCCGGAUUGUGAUUUGGAGAUCCGUAGUGGAAUUAUGCUUGAAAUAGCGAAAGUUAAAUUUUGGAAAUAUUUGACCGGGAGUGGACUUUUUGAUAUCAGGGUCGGAUUCCGAUUUCGAAAGUUGAAAUAGGUCUGUAAUAUCAUUUGUGACUUGUGUGCAAAUUUGGUGUCAAUCAGGCGUAUUUUGAUAGGUUUCGGCGUCGUUUGUGGAAGUCGAAUUUUCUUAGUUUCAACACGCUUAAAUUGGGAUGUGAUUCGUGUUUUUGAAGUUGUUUGAUGUGAUUUGAGGGCUCGACUAAGUUUGUAUGUUAUUUCGGGACUUGAUAGUAUGCUUGGUUGAGGUUUCGGGGGCCUCAAGUUGAUUUUGGAUGGUUAAUGGAUCGAAAAUGGGACUUAGUGCAUUGCUAAAGCUGGAGCUCUUCUAGUGUGAUCACACCUGUGAGGAAUUUGCCGCAGGUGCGAUGCCGUAGAUGUGGGUGGUUUAUACAGAAGCGGAGCUAGGCUGGGCUGUGCAGGGCACAAGUGUGAGGGGUUAACUGCAUGUGCUAGCCCGUAGGUGCGAGCGAGGCUCCGCAGAUGCAGAAUGGAGGGAGAGGCAUGUUUCCGUAGAAGCGGAUGGAAGGCCGCAGAAGCGGCUCCGCAGGUGCAGAACAUGGAGCGCAGAUACGGGCAUGGGGUAUUUAAAUGGUUUCUGCAGAAGCGGAGAAUUUACCAUAGAAGCGGUUUCGCAGGUGCGGAUAUAGGGCCGCAAGUGCGAAAAGCCUGGGUAGAUUAUUAAAACAAGGGUUCGCGAUUUUAGCUUCAUUUCAUACAUUUCAAGCACGAUUUAGGCGAUUUUUAAGAGGGUUUUCGAGAGGAUUCUUGAGGUAAGUCCCUUGUGCUUAUUUUUGAUUAAUAAUACUGCUUCCCCAUUGAUUUUUCUACCUAGUUGGUAUGUAUUUAAGGUGGAGAUUUGGAGUUUGAGGCUAGGGAUUUGGAGAGUUUGAUUUGGGAAUUUGGGUGAUGAUUUAGUAUCGGAUUUUGAUAAAUUUGGUAUGGUUGGACUCGUGGUUGGAUGGACUUUCGGAUUUUGUGACUUUUAUUAAAUUUUGAGACGUGGGCCCGAGGACAGGAUUUGGAGCUGAUUUUUGACUUUGAUUAAUAACUUAAAAUUUUUCUUAUGGAGUUGAUUCCUUUUAGCCCGUAUUGAUUUUAUCGCAUUGUGUAUGGCUAGAUUCGAGGCAUUCAGAGGCCGUUUCGGAAGGUAAGGGUGUGUUGGAGUAGAGAUUUGCUCGUAUCGAGGUAAGAAACAAUUCUAAAUUUGGUUCAGAGGGUACGAAACCCCAUAUUACAUGUCAUGUAUUUGGUUUUGAGGUGACGCACAUGCUAGAUGACAGGCGUGUGGUCGUGCACCGUAGCAAUUGCGACUUGGUCAAAUUUUGUGGAACCGUGUAGUUGUAUAAUCUGUUGUUAUCAGUACAUUCUCCAUGUAUUAGAGAAAUUAAACCACAAAUCAUGUUUAGACCACGUGUUGGCAUUGUAGGGACCCAAAGAGGUCGUGUACAAGUUGAAUUAUCUAUUAAAUUAUUGUUUUGUACUCAAUCACUCUUUAAUUGUAUAUUACAUCUCAGUCUCUAUUAUUCAUUUUUGAUGCAUCAUAUCAUUGUUGUUUGGGCUGCUUAUUAAGAGUUCUGAGAGUCUGAGAGACUGGAGAAGUUGAUGACUGAGUGAGGGCGGGGGCCCUCCGGAGUCCGCACACACACCCAGUGAGCGCAGUUUCCUACUGAGUGCGAGUGCCGAGUACUGAAUGAAUGGGAAGGCUGAGUGACUGUGGCCCUGAGAGGAUGCAUUUGAUUUCAUUAUUGUUGAACUUAGCUACCAUGUAUCAUUGGCUUGAAAUUUUUUAUAUAUAUUACACUUUGUUUCACUUGAACUUGUCAUGGAAUAACUUCUGACCUAAUUUAUCGAACUUUAGAGCAUGCAUACUUUCUUCUGUUGAAUUCACUGUAAUUGAACUAUAACAGUGAAGCUUGUCACUACUUUCAGUUCUUUAUUUAGUAUUGUUACUUGCUGAAUUGGUUAUACUCAUAAUACACUAUGUACUUCGUGUGCAGAUCCAGGUGUUCCCGGUCACAGUGGGUGUUUAUUUCCGCGCACGGUUGAUCUUCUGGAGAUUUUGAGGUAGAUGUCGGUAUUUCACAGACCUUGUCUCUCUUUCCCUAUCUUUUCGCUUAUUGUAUAUCGUUUCAGACUAUAUUAGACAGUGUUUUCCAGACUUGUGAUGUAUAGAUGCUCAUGUACUUAGUGGCACCCCAAUGUUGAGAAUUUCCGCGUUGUAUUUUGAAUUUUCUAUCUUGUUUAUGAAAAAUUGUUAUCAUUUAAACUACUUUAAAUCCGUUUUUCUGUUAAAUGUUGGAGUUAUUUCAUAAAUGUCGGCUUGCCUAGUACCAUGAUAGGCACCAUCACGAAAGGUUAGAAUUUUGGGUCGUGACAAGUUGGUAUAAUAGCCUAGGUUACAUAGGUCUCACGGGUGAUGAGCAGGAUUAAUAGAGUCUUGCGGAUCGGUACGGAAACGUCUGUACCUAUCUUCGAGAGGCUGCUAAACCCUAAGGAAAUUUCACAAUCUUGUAUUCUUAUCGUGCAGAUUUUUUAUUUCCGGUAACUAAAUUUCUGCAAUCUAUUCUCUCACAGAUGGUGAGGACACGUGCCACCGAACAUGAUGGAAAACUACCAGUACCACCAACUAGGGCCACGAGAGGCCGAGGUCGCAGUAGGGGUUGUGGUAGGUGUAUAGGUGUAGCUCGUACAUCAUCUAGAGCAGCACAUACAUAUCCACCAGUUGCUCCAGCUCAGGAGCAGGUUCCAUAUGUAGUUGAGCGAGUGGAGCCAUCUUAGGCACUAGCUGUGCCCAUUGUGAUUCCAGACGUUCAGGGGGCGUUGGCCCAGAUAUUGAUAAUUUGCACUGGUCUUGCUCACAUGGUUUCAGCUUAGGCUGCACCAGCCACUUAUCAGGUCAGGGGAGGUGCACAUACCCCCACUGCCCAUACUCCAGAUCAGGCGAUGCAGGGACUUCAGACACCGGAGGUGCUACCAGCCCAGCUGGUUACAACUCCUUAGGCCCCGGUGGUCCCAGUUAUGGCUGAUGAUGAGCAGAGGAGUCUUGAGAGAUUUGGGAGGCUUCGAAAUCUAUCAUUUGGUGGUGCUGAGUUGGAGGAUGCCUAAGGCUUCUUGGAUAAGUGCCAACGGAUGCAUCGAACAGCUGGUAUUCAGGAGACUAGUGGGGUCUCAUUCACUACUUUUCAGUUUCUGGUGCUGCCUUCAGAUGGUAGGAGACUUAUGAGAGGCGCAGGCCAGUUGGUGCAGUAGCACUUACAAGGCAGGAGUUCUCCGUUCUUUUCUUGGAGAAGUUCGUGAUGCAGUCUCGCAGGUAGGAGCUGUGCAGACAGUUUUAGCAGCUUCGACAUGAUGUUAUGUCUGUGACCCAAUACAAGAUGAGAUUUUCUGAGUUAGCUCGUCACACAGUUUGGUAGGUUCCCACUGGUAGGGAGAGGAUCAUGAGUUUCAAUGAUGGACUUACGUAUCAGCUGCGGUAGCUUAUGACUAGGGAGAGGGUAUCAAGUACUCCUUUUGACAAGGUGGUUGAAAUUGCUCGGCAGAUAGAGAUGGUCCGUAGCUAGGAGCAUGGUGAGAGGGAGGCCAAGAGGCCUCGAGGCUCGGGCGGUUUCGGCGGUGUACCUUCUGGGGAGUAGUCCUACCACCGCAAGGUUCGUCCUUAUAGGCCAACUCAGAUGACUCGUCCAGCUCAUCGUGGUGCAUCAGCUAGCCACGGUUCUUACAAUGCUCAUUCAGGACAGUUUUCGUUCAGUGCACUACUAAUGCAGAGUUCUCACCAUGCCUCGUCCACUUAGGCUUCUACAGGUAGUUCAUCGGGUUAUCCGGAGCAGCAGUUCUGUCAUAUGAGGGUUUGUUUCGAGUGCGGAGACUUUGGUUAUAUCAAGAGAGAUUGCCCUAGGUUGUUGAGUAUGGCUCCACAACAGAGUUCUUGGCUGAUGGCACUAGCACCAGCAGUUAUGCUACCCACUCAGCUAGCUCGGGGUGAGGCCCAGGCAGCUAGAGGUUGCCCUAGAGGGGGAGGCCGAGCAAGGGGCGAUCAAGCGUGAUUCUAUGAUAUCCCUACCAAACUAGAUACCGUUGCCUCCGAUGCGAUGAUUACAUGUGUUGUCUCAGUACUCCACAGGGAUGCCUCUGCAUUAUUUGACCCUGGUCCCACUUAUUCAUAUAUAUCAUCGUAUUUUGUUCAUUAUCUGGAUAUGCCAUGUGAGUCCUUAGUUUUAUCUGUUCAUGUAUCUAUGCCAGUGGGCGAUACUAUUAUUGUGGACCGUGUAUAUCGGUCGUGUGUACUGACUAUUGGGGGAUUGGAGAUAAGAACUUAUCUCUUAUUGCUUAGUAUGGUCGACUUCAAUAUGAUCUUGGGCAUGGAUUGGUUGUCUCUAUGUCAUGCUAUUCUGGAUUGUCACGCUAAGACCGUGACGUUAGCGGUGCCGGGGUUGCCAAGGAUCGAGAGAAGAGGUUCUUUAGACAUUCCCAGCAUACAUAUUUCAUAUUUGAAGGCCCAGUGGAUGUUUGGGAAGGUUGUUUUAUCUUAUUUGGCCUUUGUAAGGUAUGUUGGAGCUGAUGCUCCUACUAUUGAUUCUAUCUCACUGGUGCGAGAUUUUUUGGAUGUGUUUCUUGCAGACCUGUCGGGCAUGCCGCAUGACAGGAAUAUUGAUUUUGGUAUUGACUUGGCGUCGGGUACUCAUUUCUGUUCCACCAUAUCAUAUGGCACCAGCUGAGUUGAACGAACUGAAUGAGAAGCUUCAAGAACUCCUUGAUAAGGGUUUUAUUAGGCCUAGUGUGUCGCCAUGGGGUGCUCCUGUCUUAUUUGUAAAGAAGAAGGAUGGUUCUAUGCGAAUCUGUAUUGAUUAUCACCAAUUGAACAAGGUUACAGUGAAGAAUAUGCAUCCAUUGCCACGUAUUGAUGACCUAUUUGAUCAGCUUCAGGGUGCCAGGGUGUUCUCUAAGAUCGACUUGUAUUCAGGCUAUCAUCAAUUGAAUACUCGGGAGCCAGAUAUCCCGGAGACUGCCUUCAGGACUCGGUAUGCUCAUUACGAGUUCCUUGUGAUGUCUUUUGGGUUGACCAACGCCCCAACAACAUACACUUGAUGAACAGUCUGUUUCAACCGUAUCUUGACUCCUUCAUCAUUGUGUUUAUUGAUGAUAUUUUGGUGUACUCUUGGAGCUGGGAGUAUCAUGAGAAGCACAUGAGGACCGUGCUUCAGACCUUGAGAGAAGAGAAGUUGUAUGCAAAAUUCUCGAAGUGUGAUUUCUAACUAGAUUCAGUGGAAUUUUUGAGCCAUGUGGUAUCGAGUGAGGGGAUCAAGGUAGAUCCGAAAAAGAUUGAAGCAGUGCAGAGUUGGACCAGACCAUCCUCAGCUACGGAUAUCUAGCAUUUUCUUGUCUUGAUGAGGCAUUACCGUCGUUUUGUAAAGGGUUUCUCGUCCAUUGCAGUACCUAUGACCAGAUUGACCCAGAAGGAUGCUCCGUUUAGGUGGACCGAAGAUUGUAAGGAGAGCUUUCAAAAGCUCAAGACUGCUUUGACUACAACCCCAGUGUUGGUGUUGCCUACUAGUUCGUGGUCCUAUACGGUAUAUUGUGGUGUGUCGCGCAUUGGUCUCGGCGCAGUGUUAAUGCAGGAUGGUAGGGAAAUUGCCUACACGUCUAGACAGCUGAAGGUGCAUGAGAAGAACUAUCAUGUCCACAACCUCGAGUUAGCAGCUAUUUUUUAUGCCUUGAAGAUCUGGCGACAUUAUUUGUAUGGUGUCCCUUGUGAGGUUUUCACCGAUCAUCAGAGUCUACAACAUCUGUUUAAACAGAAGGAUCUUAACUUGCGGCAGCGGAGAUAGUUGGAUCUGCUUAAGGAUUAUGACAUCACCAUCCUCUAUCAUCACGGAAAAGCCAAUAUGGUGGCCGAUGCCUUGAGUCGCAAGGUGGAUAGUAUAGGGAGUUUAGCAUAUCUAGUAGUAGCAUAGAGUCCUUUAGCCUUGGAUGUUCAGGCAUUGGCCAACUAGUUUGUUAGAUUGGAUCUUUUGGAGCCGAGCAGAGUUAUGGCUUAUGUGGUUUCUCGGUCUUCUUUAUAUGAUCACAUCAGAGAGCGCCAGUAUGAUAACCCUCAUUUGCUUGUCCUCAAGGACACGGUUCAGCACAGUGAUGCCAGAGAUGUUACUAUUGGGGAUGAUUGGGGUAUUGAGGAUGCAGGGUCGGAUUUGUGUGUCUAAUGUGGAUGGGCUACAAGAGUUGAUUCUUGAGGAGGCCCACAGUUCGCGAUAUUCCAUUCAUCCGGGUGCCGCGAAGAUGUACGAGGAUUUGAGGCAUCAUUACUGGUGGAUAAGAAUGAAGAAGGAUAUAGUGGGGUUUGUAGCUCGGUGCCUUAACUGUCAGCAGGUAAAGUAUGAGCAUCAAAUACCAGGUGAAUUGCUUCAAAGGUUAGAGAUUCCAGAGUGGAAAUGGCAGCUAAUCACCAAGGAUUUUAUAGUUGGGCUCCCACAGACUUCGAGGAAGUUCGAUGCUAUUUGGGUGAUUGUGGAUCGGCUGACCAAGUCCGCGCACUUCAUUCGAGUUGGGACUACUUAUACUUCUAAGCGGUUGGCUGAGAUUUACAUCCAAGAGACUGUUCGCCUCCACGGUGUGCCAGUGUCCAUCAUUUCAGAUCGGGGCACGCAGUUUUGGAGAGCCGUGCAGUGAGAGUUGGGUACCCAGGUUGAGUUGAGCACAACAUUUCACCCUCAGACGGACGGACAGCCCGAGCGUACUAUUUAUAUAUUGGAGGAUAUGCUACGCACUUGUGUCAUUGAUUUUGGGGGUUCUUGGGAUCAGUUUCUUCCACUCGCGGAGUUUGUCUACAACAACACCUACCAGUCAAGCAUUCAGAUGGCUCCGUAUGAGGCUUUGUAUGGGAGACAGUGUAGAUCUCUCUUGGGUUGGUUUGAGCCUGGGGAGGCUAGGUUAUUGGGUACUGACUUGGUCCAGGAUGCUUUGGACAAGGUUAAGAUGAUUCAGGAGCGACUUCGCACGAUGCAGUCUAGAUAGAAAAGUUAUGCCUACAUGAAGGUCUGUGAUAUUGCUUACAUGGUUGGAGAGAAGGUAUUGCUCAAGGGUUCACCCACAAAAGAUGUUAUGAGGUUCGGGAAGAAGGGAAAGUUGAUCCCUCGAUAUAUUGGGCCAUUUGAGGUAGUUCAUAGGAUUGGGGAUGUGGCUUACAAGCUUGCCUUGCCACCUAGUUUGUCGAGUGUCCAUCCAUUAUUUCAUGUUUCUAUGCUUCGGAAGUAUGUCGGCGAUCCGUAUCUUAUUUUGGAUUUCAGCAUAGUUCAGUUGGAUGGUGAUCUGACUUAUGAUGUGGAGCCGAUGGCCAUUUUGGAUCGCCAGGUUCGAAAGUUGAGGUCAAAGGACAUAGUUUCAGUAAAAGUGUAGUGGAGAGGUCAGCCGGUUGAGGAGCCACUUGGUAGACCGAUCGGGAGAUGCGGAGCAGAUAUUCACACCUAUUUGAGACUCCAGGUAUAUUUCUAUACUCAUUCGAGGACGAAUGUUUAUUUAAGAGGGGAAUGAUGUAACAUCCCGACCGGUUGUUUUGAGAGUUGUAGCCAUGUACCCUCAUUUGCUACUCAUUUUGUACUUUAUAGCUGUUAUGUGACUUGCCGAGGUGGUCAGUUCGAGUCCGGUAAGAUUUCAGGAUGAAAUGAGACACUUAGUCUCACGGUUGAAAGCUUAAGUUCAAAUGAUUGACCGGAUAUUGAUCUUUGAGAAAAUGAUUCUGGAACAUAGUUUGAUGGUUCUGUUAGCUCCGUUAGGUGAUUUUGGACUUAGGAAUGUGUCCGGAUUAUGAUUUGGAGAUCCUUAGUGGAAUUAGGCUUAAAAUGGCAAAAGUUAAAUUUUGGAAAUGUUUGACCGUGAGUGGAAUUUUUGAUAUCGGGGUCAGAUUCCGAUUUUUAAAGUUGGAAUAGGUCCAUAAUGUCAUUUGUGACUUGUGUGCAACAUUUGGGGUCAAUCGGACGUGUUUUGAUAGGUUUCGACAUCGUUUGUGGAAGUCCAAUUUCCUUAGUUUCAAUAAGCUUGAAUUGGGAUGCGAUUCAAAUUUUUGAAGUUGUUUGAUGUGAUUUGAGGGCUCGACUAAGUUCGUAUGAUGUUUCGAGACUUGAUGGUAUGUUUGGUUGAGGUCCUGGAGGCCUCGGGUUGAUAUCGGAUGGUUAACAGAUCGAAAAUGGGACUUAGUGCAUUGUUGAAACUGGAGCUCUUCUAGUGUGAUCGCACCUACGAAGAAUUUUUUGCAUGUGCGAUGCCGCAGAUGCGGCUAGUUUUACGCAGAAGCAGAGCUGGGCUGGCUUGUGCAGGGCGCAGGUGCGAGGGGUUAACCGCAUGUGUGAGCCCGCAGGUGCGAGCUAGGCUCCACAGAUGCAGAAUGGAGGAAGAGGCUUGUUUCCGCAGAAGCGGAUGGAAGGCCGUAGAAGCGGCUCCGCAGGUGCGGAACAUGGAGCGUAUAUGAGGGCCUGGUAGAUUUAAGUGGUUUCCUCAUAAGCAGAGAAUUUACCGCAGAAGCGGUUCCGCAUGUGCGGAUAUAGGGUCGCAAGUGCGAAAAGCAUGAGCAGAUUAUUAAAAUAAGGGUUCGCGAUUUUGGCUUCAUUUCAAAUAUUUCAAGCAAGGUUUAGGCGAUUUUGGAGAGGGUUUUUGAGGGGAUUCUUGAGGUAAGUCCCUUGUGCCUAUUUUUUAUCAAUAAUACUGCUUCCCCAUUGAUUUUCCCACCUAGUUGGUGUGUAUUUAAGGUGUAGAUUGGGAGUUUGAGGCUAGGGAUUUGGAGAGUUUGAUUUGGGUGAUGAUUUGGUGUCAGAUUUUGAUACAUUUGGUAUGGUUGGACUCGUGGUUAAGUGGAAGGUUUUAUGACUUUAAUCGAAUUUCGAGACGUGGGGCCUAGGGCCAUCUUUUGAGCCGAGUUUUGACUUUGAUUAAUAACUUAGCAUUUUUCUUAUGGAGUUGAUUCCUUUAGCCCGUAUUGAUUUUAUCGCAAUGUUUAUGGCUAGAUUCGAGGAAUUUAGAGGCCAUUUCAUGAGUCAAGGGUGUAAUGGAGUAGAGAUUUGCUCGUGUUGAGGUAAGUAACAGUUCUAAAUUUGGUUAUGAGUGUACGAAACCCUGUAUUGUGUGUCAUGUAUUUGGUUUUGAGGUGACGCACAUACUAGGUGACGGGCGUGUGGGCGUGUACCGUAGGAAUUGGUACUUGGUCAAAUUCUGUGGAACCGUGUAGUUUUAUAAUCUAUUGUUAUCUGUUCAUUCUCCAUGUAUAAGGAAAAUUGAACCACAAAUCAUGUUUAGACCAUGUGUUGGCAUCGUAGGGACCCAUAGAGGUCGUGUACAUGUUGAAUUAUCUCCUAAAUUGCUAUUUUGUACUCGGUCACGGUUUAAUUGUAUAUUACAUCUCAGUCUUUAUUGGUCAUUUUUUAUGCAUCAUAUCAUUGUUGUUUGGGCUGCUUAUUAUGAGUUCUGAGAGUCCGAGAAGCUGGAGAGGUUAAUGACUGAGUGAGGCCGAGGGCCUGAUUAUGAGGUAUUAUACUAUAGCACGUAAGUUAUCCGUGCAAUACAUAAGUUGUAUGUGCAUCGCAUGAGUUGUUCGUGCGGAUCUAGAUAUUAUACUAUAGCACGUGAGUUGCCUGUGCAACACGUGAGUUGUCCAUGCGGUUUAUAACACUUGGGAUGAAGGAUCCCCUCCGAAGUCUGCACACACACCCAGUGAGCGCAGGUACCUAUUGAGUGCGAGUGUCGAGUGCUGAGUGAAUGGGAAGGUUGAGUGACUGUGGCCCUGAGAGUAUGUAUUUGAUUUCAUUAUUGUUGCACUUAGUUGCCAUGUAUCAUUGUCUUGAAAUUUUUGAAAGAUAUUACACUCUGUUUCACUUGAACUUGUCAUGGAAUAACUGGUGACCUAAUUUAUCGAACUUGAGAGCAUGCCUACUUUACUGUAAUUGAACUAUAACUGUGAAGCUCGUCACUACUUUCAGUUCUUUAUUUUGUAUUGUUACUUGUUGAGUUGGUUGUACUCAUACUACACCCUGCACUUCUUGUGCAGAUCCAGGUAUUUCCGAUCACAGUGGGUGUUGAUUUCUGCGAAGAGUUGAUCUUCUAGAGAUUUCGAGGUAGCUUCCGGCUUUCGCAGACGUUGUCUCUCCUCCCCUAUUUUUCCGCUUAUUGUAUUUUAUUUCAGACUAUAUUGGACAGUGUUUUCCAGACUUGUGUUGUAUUAUGUACUCAGUGACACUCCUAUGUUGGGAAUUUCCUCGUUAUAUUUUGGAUUUUCUAUCCUAUUUAUGAGAAGUUGUUAUCAUUUACACUGCUUUAAAUCUGUUUUCUGUUAAGUGUUGGAGUUAUUUCAUAAAUGUCGGUUGCCUAGUACCAUGAUAGGAGUCAUCACGAUAGGUUAGGAAUUUGGGUCGUGACAAUUAGGCCCAUGGGCCGACUCAGCCCAACCUCAGUCAAGCCUCAUGAGCCACGGGCUUACUCGGGCCAGGCUUAAAAGCCUUAUUUUUAAGAAAAAUUUUCAGAAACCACUAUUGUUUAGUGACUAUUAACUUCUUAUAGCUAUCAUAUACAUAAUUACUUCCUAUAGCUACUAUUUAGUUGUUACGUGAUUGUAUUCGUUGUAUUCGCGCUACUGUAUUCAUCAAUACAGUAGCUGAAUUCGCCUAAAAAAUAGGGGAAUCCAGAUACUUAAUAACGGAAAGAGAAUCAAUUAGCGUGUAUCACUCCUAAUCUAACUCAACAAAAUCAAUUCUAUAUAAUUUUGUUGCUAUUGUGUUGUAUUCCAUGUAUUCGCGCGACUGUAUUUAUAAAUACAGUGAGGUAAUCUUCCUAAAAAUAGGGAUUGCAGUUGAUUAAUUUUGUAUUCCAUGUAUUUGCGCGACUGUAUUUAUAAAUACAUUGAGGUAAUCCGCCUAAAAUUUAGGGAUUACAACUGUUUAAUUCUGUGUUUCAUGUAUUCGCAUGAAUGUAUUUAUAAAUACAGUAAGGUAAUCCCCUUAAAAGAUAGUGAUUGUUUAAUAACAAAAAGCGCAAUAUUAAAUUGUAUUCAAUUUUACUAUAUUGAAUUCAAUUGUAUUUAAACAACAAAAAGAUAAGAAAUAGGGUGUACGUUCUAUUCAAUUCAGUUGUAUACAUUGUAUUCAAUUCACAAAUAUUCAUUAUUCACUAUUAUAUAUUGUAUUCAAUUCACUGUAUUCAAUUCGACUAUAUUCAAACAAUACAAAAGCACAAAAUACAGUGAUAUUCGGUUGUAUUCAAAAAAUACAAACCAUCGGGAUACAUAAAUACAUGUAAAACAAUAAUGUAUUUAUACAAAAAUAUAAUGUAUUUGAGUGUAUUUGUACAUAUUAGAAUGUAUUUGUAUCUUUGUGUGUGACUCAAUAGCAAAGAAGAGAAGAAAGUUUUCCGGAGAUGACGUUUUUCGGCCAAGUAAAAUACAUUGUAUUAAAACUAAAAAUAGAGACGAACAAAAACUCGACCCUCAAAUCUUCUCCGAUAUGGAUAUCUUAUAUGCUGACUAUGAACCUUUAGAUGUGGAUAUCUUAUAUGGUGAGGGUGUUUCUUAUUCCAAUGGACUUUCAUGUGUGGAAUUCUUAUUCCUAGAUUCAGAAGAUUAUGCCUUUUGAUGGGGAAUCACUUUUGCCUCGUUGACUUACGACUCUUUCAAUAAUGUGGAUUCACAUGGGUGGUGCGUCAAUCUCGGGUCCAUGAUAAGUAUUAGAUAUGAGAAGAAAGAUUGUCAAUGAUUCUGGAAAAGGGAGAGAGAUUUGAGGGAGAAGAGAGAUGGCUAAGAAUCGUGCUAAGAGAGAGAGAGAGAGAGAGAGAGAGAGAGAGAGAGAGAGAGAGAGAGAGAGAGAGAGAGAGAGAGAGAGAGAGAGAGAGAGAGAGAGAGAGAGAGAGNNNNNNNNNNNNNNNNNNNNNNNNNNNNNNNNNNNNNNNNNNNNNNNNNNNNNNNNNNNNNNNNNNNNNNNNNNNNNNNNNNNNNNNNNNNNNNNNNNNNNNNNNNNNNNNNNNNNNNNNNNNNNNNNNNNNNNNNNNNNNNNNNNNNNNNNNNNNNNNNNNNNNNNNNNNNNNNNNNNNNNNNNNNNNNNNNNNNNNNNNNNNNNNNNNNNNNNNNNNNNNNNNNNNNNNNNNNNNNNNNNNNNNNNNNNNNNNNNNNNNNNNNNNNNNNNNNNNNNNNNNNNNNNNNNNNNNNNNNNNNNNNNNNNNNNNNNNNNNNNNNNNNNNNNNNNNNNNNNNNNNNNNNNNNNNNNNNNNNNNNNNNNNNNNNNNNNNNNNNNNNNNNNNNNNNNNNNNNNNNNNNNNNNNNNNNNNNNNNNNNNNNNNNNNNNNNNNNNNNNNNNNNNNNNNNNNNNNNNNNNNNNNNNNNNNNNNNNNNNNNNNNNNNNNNNNNNNNNNNNNNNNNNNNNNNNNNNNNNNNNNNNNNNNNNNNNNNNNNNNNNNNNNNNNNNNNNNNNNNNNNNNNNNNNNNNNNNNNNNNNNNNNNNNNNNNNNNNNNNNNNNNNNNNNNNNNNNNNNNNNNNNNNNNNNNNNNNNNNNNNNNNNNNNNNNNNNNNNNNNNNNNNNNNNNNNNNNNNNNNNNNNNNNNNNNNNNNNNNNNNNNNNNNNNNNNNNNNNNNAGAGAGAGAGAACAUAAUUGGCGUAAUUCACUCCUGAAUGGUAGGGUAUAAAUAAAUAUAUAUUUUGCUAUAAAAUAGAAAAGGUAGCUAUAAGUAAUAAUAUUUUGAAUAGUGGUGGCAAAUAGGCGGAUCGGGUCGAAUAUGAGCGGGUAAAAAAUAGAUAAUUUAAAAAACGGAUAAAUUAUCCGACCCGAUAUGUAUUUGAGACGGAUAAAAAAUGGAUUAUCCGGUAGAUAAUAUGGAUAUCUAUAUUAUCCAUGGCUUCUUGAAUAUGAUUACUUUUGGGAGAAUUCCUAGUCUCCCAAACUUGAGGAACCCCCAAUUUGAGGCUUUACAAAUGUAAAAGUUAAACACAUUAGUUAUACAUUGUCUAUCCAUUUGGUUAACCAUUUUCUAAAUGGAUAAUAUGAUUUUUAUCCAUAUUCGAUCCGUUUUUAAAAAGUUCAUUAUCCAACCCAUUUUUAACGGAUAAUAUGGGUGGAUUACUGUUUUGUUUAACCAUUUUUUCACCUAUAAUUUUGAAAUUAUUUUGGUUUAUAAUAAAUAUAGUGUAAUAGUUUGCUAUAGGAGGUAAAAUUUCCUGUUUUUAAAUGGACUUCAAAAAUUCUAGGCUAGCCCUACUAAAUCAUGGGAUGGGCUGGCUCGACGGGCCAAGCCCGUAUUGACGGGUCUAAGUAAAUCUUACUUUCUUAUCGGGUAUUUACACCAAACUUUAAUAACUUAGGAUGGUCCCCAUUGGAAAAACAUAUACAAAAUGGACAGCAAACUGGCGGCUAAAGAUAGAAAUGAUUUGCUUGGGGGUGUUAAGUUUGGUUGCUAGCCCAUUUCUGAAUUUUGAAAUGGGCUUAAUUAAACUAAUUAAUCAAGGAAAUUUUACCUCAUAUAGAAAAGGUUUACACCAUAUUUAUUAUAAAUAAAAACUCUUUUAAAAUAUUAUUUUUUAUAGCUAUCUUUUAUUUUUUUUAUAGAAAAAUAUGUAUUUAUGGUAUACACUAUCGUUAGGGCAUUAAAUGCGAUGUCUAAUGUUUUUCUCUCUCAUACUUUCAGUUAUUCUCCCCCAAAAUCACCGCACAGUAUAUCUAAUUUUUGUCUCCCUGAUCUCUCUCUCACAACAAGUUUGUCUUCCACAUUGUUAAACCACGAUUCUCCCCAUUGUCUUUCCCAAGCUUUAUAGUUCUCUCAUAACGUCAUUAUCUCUCUCAAUUUUUAAUUUUUUUUCUCCAAAAAUUUGUGUUAAGUGUUAAAGUUUUUAGGUUUUUUGCCGGUUAAAGAUUCUUCUUUUUCUCUUCAACAGUUAUUUUUUAAAAUAUUCACCAUUGUUAGGUUUUCUGCAGAAUACCCACUAAAGCACUCAAUUUCGAAGGGCCAUCUUUCGAUUUGCAAAUCACUCAAGAGAAACCUGUAUUUGCAGGUUCAUCAACAAUCAUUGAAGCCGAAAGGAGAACAAAAAUACGCGAUGACCCUAAUUGUACAUGUAUUUAUAUGUAUUCGAGUCUGCAUACAUUAAUUUUUAGUUUGUAUAAUGGGUUUCUCUUCUUGUAUUUAGAUAUAUUUUAUAUGUAUUCGAUAAAGCAUACACUAAUUUUUAUUUUGUACAGUAAUUUUUGACUGUUGUAUUUAUAUGUAUUUGAGUUCAUACAACAAUAUUUUUAAAUACAUUGUUAGUUCUAUCAUUUUGAUGUUAUUCAUCAAUUAGUUAUGCAUUCAAUCUAACUGUAUUCAUCUGUAUUUUAAACGAACUGUAUCCAUCUGUAUUUAAGACAACAAUACAGUAAAAUACUCUCAAUACAAAUACAAAAUCAAUGAAUAGAACCAACAAAAUAUAAGCACUAGGUUUAUUAUGAAAUAUGCAGGGAGUAGGUUACUAUUACAGGUUGUAUCUUGCAUAUAUACAUAAUGUAUUCAUAUACAUAAAAUCGAAUUUCAAAAUAUUUCUAUAGAUACUUUUAUCAAGAGCAGAACCUCGAACAAUGUAAGGAGAAAAAAAAACUCGAACUGUAUCAGAAAAAAAAAGAGGGACUGAAACUCUGAAGAAUGCUCUGUUUUUUGGUGUUUAGCGUCUGAUAAAUCUUCUUAUUAAUUGGAUUGAUAAUGUUAUGUGGUAUAAUUGAUUUAGAUGAGUUAUAUUAGUGGUGUAUCCCGUUAAAUUAGUAGCUUUCCGUUAUUACACAACUGGAGAGACCUAUUAUUAUGUUGAUUGACGUUACUGUAUUCAUGAAUACAUGACACGAAUACAGGUGAAUACAGCGGCUGGCAGCUGGACUGUCCUAUGUUUUAGCCGAUUUUUGCUACUGUAUUCAUGAAUACAGUACUCGAAUAUAUUACCAUAACAACCGAAAUGUAGCUAAGGAAAGUAAUUAUGUAUAUGGUAGCUAUAGAAAGUUAAUAGCCACUAAUCAAUAGUCAUUUCUGAAAAUUCCUCAUUAAUCAACGUAGGCUUUCAGGUCUCAGUACUUUAGUUCCUUGAAUCAAUGUCUUUUGGGUGGCUUGAUUAUUAUUUAAAGGAGUCUAUUACUUAGAUUAUCACUGAACUAUCGAAAAUUAUGGAUUAAAGUCAUUUUUCUUUCAUUUAUAACAAGAAAGUUACUCAACUAUCCUUAUUGCACUCUCAUGAUCACUCAACUGGAUUUCUUAAUAUUUUCGAUGGAAAAAGCUGACUUGGCGAUCCACAUGAACUUUUUAUAUUUUUUGCCACGUAAAUAAUUAUCAUCCAAAUAAAAAUUAAUGCAACCUGAUCAUUAAAGGUAAUAACACCCUAAAUAAACUUUUACUCCUAAACGCUUCCAAAAACUCUUGGACCCAUUAUUAUUUUAUAUAACUCUUUUCUUCUUCACUUGAACCAUCGGACUUUAUAACAUAUCAUACUAAUAGAAUCAGUUAUUGUUUUUCUUUUUCUUUUUCUUAUUUGUUUAAUCUUACAUUAUAGUUUAUUUAUUGCAUUCCCGUCCUAUUUUUUAAAAGAAAUUUAGUCUCACUCCUUUUAUGUAGAAGCAUCCAUGUUGCUCUCCCUCGUACCCAUUAUUAUUUUAAGGAGAAAAGAAUAAGAGAAUAAGAGACACAAGGGUGGAGCCAAAACAAUGAGUCACGGAAAGUUGAUAGUCUUACUUUCUGAAUAGUAUUAAUUGGACUAUGAUAUACCAGGUAACUAAAUAACUGUUUUUAUUAAGUAACUAUUUUUGAUGCUGAAAGGUUCAAUGUUGGAUUAGAGAAACCUUGAAAAGCUCAUCUACUUGAGAAAAGAAGAGGAGAGUUUUAUAAAAUAGUAAUGGGUACAAGGGUUUUUUGAAGAGAGAUACGUUUAGGAGUAAGGUUUAUUUCGGAUGGAUUUACCUUUAGUGGAUCAGAUUGGAUUUAUUUUUUGUUUGGGUGAUAAUUAUUUUAUGUGACCAAAAAUAUAUAAAGUCCAUGUGGACUGCCAUGGCCUUUUUUCACUGAAAAUAUUAAGAAAUUCGGUUGAGUGAUAUCAAUCUGCAAUAUGAAUAGUUGAGUGACUUUCUAGUUACAAUUGAAAAAAAAAAUGACUUUGCUCCAUGAUUUUCAACAGUUCAGUGAUCAUCUAAGUAAUAGUAGAUUCUUAUUAAAUCCCACUUCCAAAACUCUACGCUAGUAAAUAUGUUAACCAUUUGACCAAAUUAAUGAUAUGACAAGAAAAUUUCCUUCAAGCUUUAAAAGGUUGAAAAUCACACUUGUAUUUUUGGUCUUCGAAUUGUCCCUGAUUGGGACAUAUAUUAGUACAUCAGAAAGAUUUAGUUAUCUGAAAAAAAAUUUAUCUUUUAGAUCGUUAGCUGAACUCGACAUAAAGUUAUUUUAAGUUGGUCUACUCUAGAGAUAUGAGGAAAAUUGAACGCUAAGUCACUAGGUUUGACUGAUCGAGAGGUUCUCCGUUUUAAUUUAUGUAAACUUAUUUAAUUGACACGAAGUUUAAAAACUAAAUAAAAACUUUUGAAACUUAUAAUCCUAAACAAGUCAUAAUAUUUGUGUGGCUAUAAAAGUUUUUUAGUGAAGAUAAAAAUUAAAAUUUAAAUUAAAUUAUUUUCAAAUUUAAGAAAGUCGUUCUUUCUAAACUAAACUAAAAAGAAAAUAGAUUUACAUAACUAAAACGAAUAAUGACAUAUGAAAAACGCUUCCUCCUAAUAACGCCUAAUCUUUAGAGGCACCAUUCCAUGAAGUACAAAAAGCUAGACUUGAAGAGGUCUACUCGUAUGAGUUUUUCAAUACCUAAGUUGAUUAUUAUCCCUGGUUUCUCUUUCACCCAUUAAAUGUUGAUAAUAAAAGGUAAAUAAGAUUGAAGUGGGUCUUUUCAUACCACGGACUAAAGGGUCAUUUGAUAUGAUGUAUAAGGAAAAUAAUUAUGGUCUAUAGUUUGGUAUAAUCUUAUCCAAUGUUUAGUUUGUAAUUUGAAUCAGGUAUAACUUAAUAUACAAAAUGAAGUUAUUAUUUUAUACUCAUCCGUUCACUAAUAAUAUGGAAAAACUAAUUUAUGUAUAUCUUAUAUAUGGAUAAAGGACAAAAAGGACAAAACUAUCAUUGUCUUUUUCUAAGAAGCCAAUAAAUGUCAAAUGUCUAAGGUAUAUACUUGUAAACUCAUUGUUUUUUGGUUUAAGAAAAAUAUAUAAUAUUUUAAAUAAUAUCUUAUAUAUCCAAUUUUAAUACAAUUAAUGAACCAAACACCCAAUAAAAAAUCUCUGUAUCACUAAUUUCUAUUUAACUAAUUCUUAAGUAACUAAUUCCUACGUAUAAUUCCUACAUAACUUAUUUUUGAACAAAACGACUCCUAAAAGCUUGUACUUUGUCGUGUGAUUGCACAGUAAUUGCAUCGUGCACUGUUUUACAUAUAGAAGAAUAAAGGUGGAGAACUUGAUAUUUUGUCAAACUUUUAGAAAGAAAAAGAAAUAUUUUUAAGUAGAAGCAAAAAAAAAGUUUCUUUUCAAAAGUUCUUUUUAAAAAUCACUUUCCAGAAAAUACAUUUAAAACACUUUUUAAAAGCUUGUUUUGCGGCUUAAAAGUAAUUUUUAAAUUAAUUAGCAAAAAAUAAAUUAUUUCUCAUCAAAAGUCCUUUUUCACUUUUGAGAAAAAUAUUUUUGAGAAUAAGCUGAUUUUAAAAGUUUGGCCAAAUAUGUUAUUAUUCUCCUCCUGCUUAAUUUCACUACCCUUACAUCACUAAACAUAAAUAUUUUACAUGAAGUGUUAAUCGAGUUGUUUAACUUAAGGAAAUACAAUGGUAUUUAAACACAAGGGCAGCAGCCGACGGAAUAAGACAAUAUAUAGCUAAUGUGGAUCUAAAUCGUAAAAUGACCAAAUCUCAAUGUCCCAAAAAGCAAAUCAUGACAUUAUUCAAUGCAUUUUAUUUAACUUAACUAUAGCUUUCUGAUUAAUAGGUUUAAUUAAUGUUUGAAAACUUAACUUUGUAUGACUGCUUAUUAGUUAAUGAUAUCUUGCUGUUAUUCAUUGAUCAACAACUUGGAUUACAGUUUGUACAAAAAUAAAAUAAAAUAAAAUUAAGUUUGUUUAUCCCCGAAAGAUUGGCCUCAAUAAAAGUAAAUCUGCGAAAAAACAAACAAGAUCAAUUUUUUUAUUAUUUAGAUGUCAAUGGAGAUCUAAAAUAGUAACCUUAGAUUUUGCUUUCCGUUUUACUUUUCUUAAUUUUCAUUUGCUUUGCUCUCAGUUUAGAUGUCAAGUAUUUUUGUAUUUUUCCUUUACAUNNNNNNNNNNNNNNNNNNNNNNNNNNNNNNNNNNNNNNNNNNNNNNNNNNNNNNNNNNNNNNNNNNNNNNNNNNNNNNNNNNNNNNNNNNNNNNNNNNNNNNNNNNNNNNNNNNNNNNNNNNNNNNNNNNNNNNNNNNNNNNNNNNNNNNNNNNNNNNNNNNNNNNNNNNNNNNNNNNNNNNNNNNNNNNNNNNNNNNNNNNNNNNNNNNNNNNNNNNNNNNNNNNNNNNNNNNNNNNNNNNNNNNNNNNNNNNNNNNNNNNNNNNNNNNNNNNNNNNNNNNNNNNNNNNNNNNNNNNNNNNNNNNNNNNNNNNNNNNNNNNNNNNNNNNNNNNNNNNNNNNNNNNNNNNNNNNNNNNNNNNNNNNNNNNNNNNNNNNNNNNNNNNNNNNNNNNNNNNNNNNNNNNNNNNNNNNNNNNNNNNNNNNNNNNNNNNNNNNNNNNNNNNNNNNNNNNNNNNNNNNNNNNNNNNNNNNNNNNNNNNNNNNNNNNNNNNNNNNNNNNNNNNNNNNNNNNNNNNNNNNNNNNNNNNNNNNNNNNNNNNNNNNNNNNNNNNNNNNNNNNNNNNNNNNNNNNNNNNNNNNNNNNNNNNNNNNNNNNNNNNNNNNNNNNNNNNNNNNNNNNNNNNNNNNNNNNNNNNNNNNNNNNNNNNNNNNNNNNNNNNNNNNNNNNNNNNNNNNNNNNNNNNNNNNNNNNNNNNNNNNNNNNNNNNNNNNNNNNNNNNNNNNNNNNNNNNNNNNNNNNNNNNNNNNNNNNNNNNNNNNNNNNNNNNNNNNNNNNNNNNNNNNNNNNNNNNNNNNNNNNNNNNNNNNNNNNNNNNNNNNNNNNNNNNNNNNNNNNNNNNNNNNNNNNNNNNNNNNNNNNNNNNNNNNNNNNNNNNNNNNNNNNNNNNNNNNNNNNNNNNNNNNNNNNNNNNNNNNNNNNNNNNNNNNNNNNNNNNNNNNNNNNNNNNNNNNNNNNNNNNNNNNNNNNNNNNNNNNNNNNNNNNNNNNNNNNNNNNNNNNNNNNNNNNNNNNNNNNNNNNNNNNNNNNNCUGCACCUAUAUAUGGUACAAUACUUCAACUUGUAAUUAGAUUCAUCCUCUCUAAAGCCACUUGCACCUAUAUGAUAGCUAAUUAUAAUAAUGUAAGACAUAGGGUAAUGGGAAAUGCUAUGCAAUAAUACAUAUAACCCUAGACUGGUCUUUACAAAUAUCUCUAUUUCAGAAAAGAAAUUUUUAAAAUUUUGGAGAAUAUUAUAGUGGGCGUUUGGACAUAAGAAUUGUAAAAUUCCAAAAAAAAAAGUGAAAUUUUUUUGAAGUGAAAAUGGUAAUUGAAAAAAUUAUAGUUAUUUCUGGACAUGAAUAUAAUUUUGGGUUGUUUUUGAAGGUUUGUGAGUGAUACGAGAGAAUUUUGAAAAAUAGCCUUUUGGAGUUUUUCAAAUUUUGGAAAAAUUUCAAAAUUCAUCUUUAAGUGAAAUUAAAAAUUUUAUGGCCAAACAUUGAUUUCGAAAAAAAAAAGAAAAUUUUUCUAAAAAAAAUAAAAAAAUUCUUAUGUCCAAAAAGAAUUUUUAUUUAUUGUUAAGCUAACGUUAUAAAAGUUUAAAAUUUACCAAUUCCGCCUUGAUAUGCAUAUCUCAAAGCACUAAAGAAAUAUUUCGUGUGAAGUUAUCAAAAGAAUGCGAUUCCACCAAUAUGUAUAAAAUCAAUCAGAUAACAUCUUUAAUUUCUAAGACUUAACUAAUAUUACUAACAAUGUAAGAAUACAAUAUAAAUUAUAGUUUAAUAAUUAUAGCAAGUUAUUUACUAUGUUGUUUUAAGCUACCAAUAUAGAUAUGAUUGUGUAAAUAUUUUUUACAUCGUCCUUGCAUAGACAUUAAAAUCAGUAGUAUUUUUUGGAGGAUAAAAAAAAAUAUGCAAAUAGCAAAUUGAACUUGAUUAGGAAAUGCUUUGAUCAUUUCGUUCCCAAUUUAAGCUCUUUCCCCCCCUUCUUUCUGACCAACCACAUGUUCAAGAGGUCAUGACAAUCCACGCAUGAAAAAGGAAAGGAAAAUAAGAGAGAUCUGAAGUUUGAACAAGAAAAUGAACGAAAUUUAUAUACUCUGCUUGUUUCACUUUAAACGACGUAGUUCAGAGUAUGAGAUCAAGCUGACCAUUUCUUAUGUGAAUUCGAAUAUAGAAUAUUCAAAAUUUUGAAGUAAAAAUCACCUAUUUAAAACUAUAGAAAAAAUAAUAUAAGUUACGAUAAUUAGUAAUUCAAUAUAUUUAUAAAGUAUUUGCAAGGGGGUAAAAAGAGAUAUGAAAGAAGGGGAUAGUCAUCGAUCGUACAACAACUUGAAGCUUUUGACACUACUUCUCAAGGUCUCUCAUGCAUGUAUCUCUAGAAACCUUAUCUUGUUUGACAAAAUGCAACGUCAUAAUUUUUAAAUUUAGAUAUCUUAAUUAUUCUUGAUCAUAUGUAGAAACAACAAAAUAUUAUUAAUCAGAGACACAUUUAAACUUUAAACUUUAUGAGAUCAAUGUUUUCUACCUAUUUAGUAAACAUUUAACACAAAUAUAAAGUUAGAAGUUACACUCUAGAGCCGUCCCUAGAUCUAAUGAGUAUGUUCAUUCUUAAUUGAGAAAUUGGUGGAGAUAAGGCUUACGUUCUCAUUCAUGUAUUUACUUAUAACUUUUAAGAGAUUCAAUUACUUCUAUCCACUAGCAACAUAAAAUAAUUUUGACACAAUCAAAAUCACCGAAAAUGUAAUUAUAACUAAUCGAUUUUAAUAAGUAAAAUUAAUAAUCUGAAGUAAAAAACAAAUGAUCAACCUGCUACAACAAAUGUUUUUUUUAAACUAUCAAUAUAUAAAGUUAAACUCAUUUUUUAAUAUACCGACAUGGGUCUAACUAAUUAACCUCGUCAUGCUAAGAGCAAUUUUGUUUUAAAGAAAAAUUGGCUCUAGUUUAAGCAACAAUGUAAAGCUCUUCAUGAAAAAGAAACCUAUCCAAAUAUUUUUGUUAUAUUAUAUUGAAUUGUUUUUAAUAAAAUCUUUAAAAGCAAAAGGAAAAAUAGCUUUGUGCAAAAAGGUUGGUAGGCAUAUUUUGGUCAAGCGGGCAUCUAAUUUAGACCACGCAAAUUUCAUCUGUAUGUAAAUGAUUAUGAAUAUAUGAUACAAUUUAGACUUUAGGCAGCCACAUCAUAAUUUAAUAAAUAUAUAAUCCUAGAAGGGCAUUAUCAUGCCUCAUGAGAAAAACCUAGUAAAAUGAUCCCACUUGACUAUAUAUAUCCAAUUACUUUCUAAAGGAUUUUUAAUCCUGAUUAAUUAUCAUGGUAGUAUUUACUGUUCUUUAAAUAAUAUUUUUCCUUAAAAGUACUGUUUCUAGUUAAUUAAGUAGGUCCAGGUCUAAAAAGACUGUGACGUCCAAAAAAUUCUUAGAUUAGGUAGUGUAGCAAUAACGUUCUUAAGCACGAUAUUCACUUUAUCUCAGAGAUAUUGACUUUUUGAAAUUUUGAUACAUUUCUUUAUAUUUUGUAGUACUAAAGGGUAUCAUGUAGGGCAUAAUAUAAUUAAGGUGUAUUUAAAAUUUUAAUUUUAUGAGUUCAGCAUUUAUGAUUUUUAGUAUUGAACUGAUUAUAUUUUUAAAGUUAUGAGUUCAAAUUUAUUAUAUGUUGUAAUUUUAAUAAAUUUUUACACUAAAUUUAUACUCAUGUCGAAAGUACUAGGUUAGAUGAACCCCGUACUAUAAUACAACAUAUGCCUCAGAAUAUAGUAUGGCAGCUAAUUAGUCCUAGAUUAAGUGUGAAAUGAACAUGGUCAUUGCCAUACGAAUUACGAUUAAUAUGUAUGCCCUACGGGCUACGAUUGUGCUACAUCAAUGUAAAGAGUUUAACUUAUAUAUGUUAUCGUGUAAAUAUAUUUUUAUGUUAUCGAUUUUUGAAAAGAUAUCUACAAGUGACCUUUUAAAAAAUUAUAAUUUUCAAGAAUAAAACAUAUUACCUAUUAGCAGGUAAAGAUAGCCUAAUAAAAUAAAAAUUAUUUACAUCGUCAGUAGAUAUUAAUUAAGCUUCUAUGUAAAUGCAAAUUUAGGAUUCCUUUUAGUAGCAACAUUUACACCCUCUUAGAAGUUUGUAAAGAUUUUCCAUUUUACACCGUCAAUGUAAUUUAACGUGAUAGUAGGUUCGUUAUUUUAUUUUUACCAUAUUAGGAAAUCAUAUUAUUUAUAAAAUAAUUAGAGGUAAAUUGCAUGACAAUUAUAAUUUGAUUACCUAAUAACCACAGUAAUCAAUUUGUUAUGGCAUAUACAAAAAACUACUAGUGUAAAAUAUCUUUAUAUAAUAUAAGUAUAUAUAGCUUAAAUUCUAAUUCAAACUAAUAAUUAUCACAAAAUUUUACUUUUAAUCACCUUUUAAAUAAUUCAAAUAUACAAAAUAUUUUGUAUACCACUAGUACCUACACCUCAAAAAAUUUCUUUGGUCAAACUAAAGGCUGCACACCGUUUUUUCGCUUAUUUUGCAAUCUCGGCGUUCAACAAUCUUGCGUAUAAAAUUUUGAGACAAUUGAUUUGACACUUCUUAAAAUUGGAUCGAAGGGAACGUACCACAUUUCUUUUUAUAAUGAUGAACUUACCUUAAAAAACCUUUCAUAUAUGAGACUUUCUGGAUGAUGGCUAAGGAAUAUUGCCACUUGGCCACAUUGAUACCAAACUUUGGCCAAGGUGUACUCUUGUCUUUCUCCUAGGGUUUACACUCGACCUACACCUCACCCCCUAAGCUUAUUUUUUUAAUGCAUUAUUUAAUUUAAUGAAAGGAUAAGACACAUUCCACGUUCAAUAGUAUGUCAUAUAAUCUUUACAGUAAUAGGUGGGAUUGGAUCAACUCGGAAAAAGAGGUAAAAGUAUCUUGAACAAGGAAAAUGUCAUAUGUAUAUCCAUCCAUAUCUAUUGACUAUCCAUCUCUAUAAAAUCCUUGAAACAAUGAUCUAUAAUUUGUUAAAAAGAACAAAAGGGUAAUUUUAAAUUUUUUAUUUUUUAUUUUGGUUUUAAUUACAUAAUCUUAUAACCAAAUAAAUGUUAUAAUAUGCUUAAAAUUACAAAGUUUUGCGGAAUUUAUUGAUAUAUGCGGUGGCAGAUCUACAUGGGCGCUUGUGGGUGCAGGCUUAAGCAUCCAUUAACUUNNNNNNNNNNNNNNNNNNNNNNNNNUUUCUUUCUUAAACAUAUCUCAAUUUGUCACUAAUAUAAAAUAUAAAAUAAAAAGAAGGAUUACUCUUCUUUUUCUCAAUACUCUCUUAUAUAUUCCAUAUAAAAGUCUCAGUAGCAAUUCAUGAAUUUUGAAACUCUCCCUUUGACAACCAAAAACACCAAAAGAUGUCAAGUAACUCAAGCCCACUAGAAAUAGACACUUCAUUUUCACAUUCCAACUUCUUCUUUCUCCAAGAUCAAUCACCAAUUUUACAAUGGGAUGAUGAUCUUUUCUUCAAUGAUCCAUGGUUUGAUGAUGAUCAAUCACCAAUUAUACCAUGUAACUCAGAGAAAGAUGAAAAUCAUCAAGUAUUUGAAGAAUCCUCAGACAAUACAAUCAUGUCAAAAGGAAGUAGCCAUGGUCAAGAAUUAGAAGAGGUAACAUCCCAAGAAGAAAAAGAAAAAGAAGAAGAAGAAAAACACUAUAUAGGAGUUAGAAAAAGGCCAUGGGGUAAAUAUGCAGCAGAAAUAAGAGAUUCAACAAGAAAUGGAAUUAGGGUUUGGUUAGGGACAUUUGAUACAGCUGAAGAAGCUGCUUUAGCUUAUGAUCAAGCUGCAUUAUCGAUGAGAGGUCCUUGGUCUCUUCUUAAUUUUCCAUUGGAGAAAGUCAAGAAAUCACUUGAAAAAAUUGAGUAUUCUUGUAAAGAUGGAUUGUCUCCUGCUGCUGUUCUAAAAGCUACUCAUAAAACAAGGAGAGUGAAGCAUAAAAGAAGUAGUAGAAAGAAAAAGAAUAAAGAAACUCAUAAUGUUAUUGUUUUUGAGGACUUGGGUGCUGAGUUAUUAGAAGAGCUUUUAAUGACUUCAUCACAACAUUCGUGUCGAAGGGACUGAGUUCAGUUUUCUUGAAAGAGAAUAAAAUUUAUCUCCCCGUCGCUUUAGUUACGUUUAUUGAUGAGUUAUUACUCGCUAUCUGAUUGAAAAAGAUGAUUCAAAAAAUUCCGUCCAUUAAAAAAACAGUGGAAGGAAGACAAUCAGAAUCUCACGAUCUACGAGUUUGUAAAACUUGCUUUUUUUUUUAAUUUUGUUUUGUUUUUGAAUUCUUGGUUUUUUGAGGAAUUGGGAGUUUAGUUUUAAGAACUUUUGAUGGAUACAAUCUCAGAUAUAAUGAUUCGACUUGUUUGUGCAUACAAAUUUGCCUUUUUUAUUUAAUUUUUCACUUUGAGUGCUGGUAUUAUAAAUAAACAUGAUGCUUACCAGGCGAUUCCUCUUCUUCUUUUGGAAAUUUCGAUAGUUUUAAAUAAUAAAAAAGUACGCCAUCUUUUAAAAAUUAACAAUCAAUUUUUUCUAUAAAUAUUAAAUACUUGCUUAGACUUUAACUUUUGCAUUGAUUGAUAUUAUAUUUGUGAUUUAAACUUAUCAUGGCAUUAAUCUAGCUAAUUAUAAUUAAAAGCAUAUCAUUAUGAAUAAAAAAUAAUAGAGGCCCUACAAAAUGAAACAAUAUUAGGAGUACUAUUGUCCCUUUCCUUUUCAAUUUUGCUUCCCAUUUGAGUAGAUUAGUUGUCAAUUGUCCCAUAGGAAAAAGUCACAAAAUCUUGAAUUUAUAGUGCAUAUUAUAUAUCGAAGAUGACUUCCAUCAUGACGAAGAAAAAAAGGAAAAAUUAAAUGACCUUUUGCACUAAUCCCAUUUUACUGUGUAUUAUAUUUUAUCGCAGGGAGCUCUUAUGUUGUUCUUGGGAAAUCUUUUAUAGAUGUUUGAUUAGAUAUGGUUCUAGAAAAAAGAUUUUAAGUGAAUUUCAAAAGUAUUUUUGGAUGUAUGGGCAUAACAGGAUAGAUAAUAUUAGGAAUGAAUAUAUUAGGGAUAAAGUGGGAGUGGCCCUCCGUGGAGAACAAGAUGCGGGAAGUGAGAGUGAGAUAGUAUGAGCAUGUGAAGAGGAGGUGCAUAGAUGCCCCGACGAGGAGGUGUGAAAGGUUGGCCGUAGUGGGGCCGAUGAGAGGUAGAGGUAGGCCUAAGAAGUAUUGAGAAGAGGUUAUUAGACAGGACAUGGCGCAGCUUAAGCUUACUGAGGACAUGACCCAUGAUAGGAGGAUAUGGAGGCUGAAAAUUAGGGUAUAAGGUUAGUCCGGAGGCAAGCAUGUCUCAUUUUCAUGCCGGUAUCAUUAGUUUUAGUUUCGCAUUUUCGUAUCUUCUUAUCCGCAUGUUUCUUCUACUACAUAUUAUUUCAUUGGUUUUGGAUAUUCUAUCAUUUAAAUCUUCUUGUUGUUUCUUAUCUUGUUAUUGCUUAGCAUCGUAUUUUCGUAUUAGUCUUGUUGUUUCUAAUUUUGUUGUCAUUACUGCUUGUUGUUCCUGCUUGUUGAGUUGGGGGUCUUUCGAAAACAAUCUCUCUAUCUUCACAUGAUAGGGAUAAAAUCUGCGUACACACUAUUCUUUUCAGAUCUUACUGUGUGAAAUUAUACUGGAUUUGUUGUUAUUAUUGUAUCACAAGUAUUUUUGAAACUUGUAUCUUUAAAUAUGUUAUGAUUUUUUCUUUGUGACGACAGUGUCUGAGCAAAGUUAGCACACCUUAACUAUUCUACUGGAUAUAUUCGUGAAACUAGAAAUUUGAGUAAUGGGAUCAAAGAAAAUAUGAAAAUAUCUAUGAACCUAAGUAAAAGAGAUCCAACAUUUUAUAUAUAUACAAACAAAUUACUUUUACAGUAUAAUUAUUUGGCAAUGGGAUUCAAUUAACCAUUUCACUAAAGGUAGCUAUACCCUGAUAUUUGUUAAGGUAGCUAAAAUAUCCUUUAACUAUAAAAGGUAUCAAUCUAUUAAAACAGAUUAAAAAAAGAAUACUGUUAUUGACCCUUUCCUUUUCAAUUGUGAUUCCCUUUCUAAAAAUUAGUUUGUCACUUGUCACAUAUGGAAAAGUCACAAAAUCUUGAAUUUUGAAUAUGGAAAAUGGCUUCCAUCAUCACUAUGGAAAAAAAUACUAAUAAAAAUUAUCCACCUUUACACCCAAUCCCAUUUUACUGUGUCUACCCCAUCAAAGGGAGACCAACUUACAUUAUUCUUGAGACGUUUCAUAAUUAAGUAGGCACUUCAGCCAAAUAGAAUAAUUUACAAUAUCCUUUGUACAUUCUUAUUAUAUUGUUUCUUUUUUGGAAAAAUAGAGUUCUUUGUUUAACUUAUUCAUUUGUCUCUAGCUAGAAAGCCGAUGUCGAUCUUUGUUUUCUUAAAACAAAAUUCAUUUUCUAAUAAUCAAGUGUCAUUAUUCUUCUUUUGGAAUUAUACCAUUGUUCGUCCUCUUGUCAUGAGGUGAAAGGGAAGGUGAAACGCUUGUGCGAAUGAAACAAAGAUCAUAUCACCAAUUUUGACCUUUAGAGAAAGAUUAUCCCAUUUUCUAUAUGAAUAUGGAUGAUGGAACUGUAUAUAUAGUAUACUGUAACAAGAGAUGUAUAUUUUUUUAGUCGCUCUUAAAAAUAAUAAUAGAUAAAUAUAUAUCUUUUUGUAUAUGUAUUAUAUACAUAUAAUAUGUAUAUUUUAUGCACUUUGGCUAGCGAAUGCAAUUAGUUUCGACUUGACCGGCCAAUUCUACAUUUUUCUCUAUUAUAAAUCAAGCAUCGAGUCUUUACUUAUUCUGAAAAUUUCAUAGAGUGCUAUAAAUAAAGAAAAUUAUAACUGAAAUUACAUUAAUAAGGUCCUUUUAAAACUCAUAAUUAGGGGAAGAAUUAUUUUUGAAUCAACAAAUAGUAAUAGCAUCACAUAUAUUAUGCGAAACACGAGAGAAACAGUAAUUCAUUGUGGAAUUAGAGUUAGUUGAGUGUGAACAAAGCCAGUUGUUCUUAACAAGUCUCUUGGUUAUACAUAGUAAAAUUCACUUUACUCCCUUGCCCUUCAAGGGGCGGGAAAUAAUACCCCUCACAUUUUGAAUGUGAACGGAACUCCCUUAUGCAAUAUUUUUUUAGUGAGAGUUUCUUUUUUAAAAUAAUUUUUUUUCUCUCUCUAUCCUUUUAAAGGUGAAGUAUAGUUUUUCUCAUCCAAACCAAUACUUGAAUUUGUCUUUCUUGCUUGUAAAAUUUAAGAUAUUUUCUAUUAUAUUGAGGUCAUUGUUAAAUAUUUUGCAAUAAAGAAAUAAAUGUUGCAUACAAAAUUCAAGAAAUAUGGUGAACGCACAUUCACCAUGGAUGAUUUAACAUUUCAAUUUAAAGGGAAAAAGAUACACUGAAAUUGUCAAUUCUCUAACAUAUAUAUUAAUGAAAGAAUUGUUGAUGUGAGUAUUAAUUUAUUUAUGUAUUUUCUUUGUAUAUUAAAAUUAUUAUACUAAGGCAAUUAUUAAACUUUACUUAUUUUGAAAAUAUCUUUAUUGAACAAAAAUUAUAGUUGGUAAUUUCACAUUUGAAAAUUUAUUACGGAGGUAUUUUUGCAUUACAUCAUAUCUUAAAUUAUGCAGGAAGAAGGCUAAAGGAAAACUCCAUAAAUUAUAUAGAUCCUAAUUGUUUGUCAUAUCUUGAGCUUUUGACUAUAAAGAAAGAACUUGGUUAUUCUAAAAAUAUCUAUUAAAAAAAGAAAAGAUUUUUAUUUAAAAAAAUUGUAUGGUAAUUUGUUUGAGUAUUAAAAUUUUUGAUUACCUCUGGUACAUCCAAAAUACUUCGUCAUAUCGUAUGUAACGUAAAUCUUAAGAAUAUCACUCCACAGAAAUUUGUCUGUACUCAAUAUUUAUAACCAUCCAGUAAAAUAUAUGACACAUAUUUUCUCUCUCACACACACACAUAUAUAUAUAUAUAUAUAUAUAUAUACACACACACUUUCUGAUGCAUGGUUUUUGUAAGUUUUGCUUGAUAAUUGUCAAUCUUCUUACCAUGGGUGUUCGUCGGUCGAUACGGUACGAUAAUUAGACAUUUCGGUUCAGUAUUUUUGAUAUUCAGUUACUUAAAAUACAAUACUAAUACCGUACCUAAUUAAAUUCGGUAUGGUUCGAUUUUUCUCCCUUCGGUUUCGAUUUAUUCGGUUUGGUAACUUCGGUUUAUUUGGUUUGAAUACUAACUAGUGCAUAGAGUUAUAGACCGUAAUAUUCUAAAUUAAAGUACUCAAAAGUACAAAACUAAAAAUAUUUGUUGACAAAAGUUGUCCAAAACUAACAAAUAUCAACCCAGAGUGAGAAAAGUAUACAUUAAAGAAUAAAUUUGAUCAUUAGAAAUAUCUUGUUACUUGCUUAGAGUUAAUUGAUGAACAUAGAGAAUAAAGGAAACUAAAAUUUUGGAUUUUUAUAUUUUUGUUAUAAUUAAUAAUAUGUGUAUUGUGUAAUAUAAUAUAUAUUUCGGUAUGAUAUUGAUAUUUCGGUAUUUCAUUUUAAAAUACCAAAUACCAUAUCUAAUACCUAUUUUUUUAAAAUUUAAACCAAAUAUCAUACCGAAUACCAAAUAUCAAAAUUUUCGAUUUCGAUACGGUAAUUCGGUAUUUACCAAAUUAUGCACAUCCCUCUUCUCACUAACAUCAAGGUACACAAAAUUAUAAGAAAAUACCUUAAAAUACUUAAAUUCAACAACCAAAACAUUAUUCUGUUUGCUUUGAUGAGUGGCAUGAUAUAAAUUAACGAGUUUAGUCAUUUGAUAAGUGCCUUAUGAUUCAAAAAUACUUCGUCAUAUCGCAAGUCCAUUGGGUGUUGGUCAUAACUCAAGAAAAUAACAAAAAUGGUCCCUAAUAACAUUUGAGGUAGAUUUAAAAUAAUCUUUUAAAUAUUCUCCUGAGCAAUUUUUCCUUUAAAUUUGUCAAAAAGGAGCACUAUUAGUCUCCCUCAAACAUUUAGUGAACUUUAUUGUUAGAUUAGAUGUAAAAUAUCAAUAUAUAUAUUCAACCAGAAACACCAGAAAACUCAUGUCAAAUCCCAAAAAUGCAACCGAUACCAGAAACAGACUAAAAAUAGCAGAAACUACAAAUUCGCACCUCCAAAUAUGAGUUCUUGUUUAAUUUUUUUUUUCCCCACAUUUUUUUUAAAAAUCCAACUACCAGAAUGUGUUAAAUAUUUAACGAAGAUAAAAGAUACUCACUUUUUACAAACUUAAAUGACUUUAGUGCUCAGACUAUUUAGACCUAUAUAUCCUCACAUGUAAGGAGCCAUUUUUGUUUUUUCCUCUUCACAACUCCUAAUCACAGAUCGUGACAAGUAGUAUUAAGGCAGAGUAAUGUCUUCCACAAUCUUGUUACCUGGGUUUUAGCCGUUUAGACAUUAACUUCCAAAUGUUAUAGAAUAGACCUCGUUUUUAUCCAAUUUGGCCUAUAAUUGGCCUAGUACUUGGACCACAAACUUGCGGACAUAAGAAACUUAAUUGUCAUAUAAUUUAUACGAGUUAGGUAAAGCAUUUAUAAUCUUAUCCAGCCACCUUCAAUUUUGUUUGCCAAAGUUGACCUGUUGGUCUCAUAAUGUGGAUUCAAACCAUUUGUUGAAUUACAUCAUAUAUGUGAUAAUACGAUAGUAUGACGUAUGCAUUAAUGGUGAUAUUUUUUUGGUUUCCUGCCUUGUGUUGAUACUUGCACUGGGGUCCUACUUUAAAGUGAGGGGGUGUAGGAUGUAAAUAUGUACAUGUGUGUGUUUGUUUUCUUUUGAUUGGACAAAAAAAAUUGACUUUUUCCGAUGAUGGAUUUCCUCGGCUGUCUUCUUGAGGGAUCAAAAUCGAAGAACAAAAAAAUUGUUUUUCUUAGAUAGUAUAACAAUUCCCCCUUAGUUUUUCUUUGUGCCACGGUUCUUUUCCAAGGGUUUUACUUGAACCGGGUGUAGUUAGUUUUUCUUUUGUUAGGGUUAGAUAAGUCUUGUGCUAUGAUAUUAAAUGGAGAUGACUUUUCUUGACUUUAUUGUGCCUUAAGAGCGAUGAGUACCUUAGUUGUGACGUCUAGGCUUAGUUCUUAACUCGUCUAUAAGUGCCUUAAAUUGGUUGAUUGUAACUUUGCUUAACUGCUUUAACUAAAGAUCGGGAUAGACCCGAUCCCGAUCUCUUAUGUGCCAAUAUGUGUGUGAGGUUGUUGCUGAUAUUCUGUGCAUGCCAUUUAAUGUCUAGAACUUGCCCUGUGUAUUUGCAAAGCAAAAUAGUAGGUUUGUUCAGUCUAGGAUGUGAUAGAGACGUUUCAUUGUUGAGUCAGAUUAUAAUUUUUCCCACCUAGUUAAUGUGUAUCUUAGUUAGCCCUUUGAACAUGUAAUUCUACUUCUUUGACAACCACAUUGCAAGCCUGAUCCACCUUGUUUGAAUUAACUAUCUAUUCGAACCUUUUUUCCUCUCUUGAGCACUUGAUUUUGCUAUGAGCUUGUAAAAGCUAAGUUGAGGUAUGGUUGAGUUUUUGAGUGAAACUAUAGAAAAGGAGAGAGGUGUACUACUUUGAAAAAAAUUGUGAGAGCCAUUUGUAGGGAAUUGAAAUAAAAAAGUGAGUUAGCUUGAAAAGAAAAAAAAAUAAAAAAUCAGAACUUAGAAAAGAAAAAAUGGAUUCCUUGCUAGUGCUAGUUCACGUAUUAUCUAUGCUUAAAGAUAUUGGGAGUUUGAUGCUAUUAUGUGUGAAGGUUGGGAUUUAGUUCAACAUAAGUGUGAGGUUUAAAUUGUGAAAUUGUAUGUAUUAAAAUACUUAGGGAGGUGUAGUCACUAUAUCCAAAUGUAUCUUUUCCGUCCUGCAACCUACAUUACAACCAAAAUAAAGUCCUACUUGAUCCUAGAUCGAAUGAGCUCAAUUAGUAGAGUAUUACACUACGGGCAAGCCUAUGGUACGUCUUUUGUGGCACAUGAGUUUUAUUUCUGAGAGUGAGUUAAUUCUUUCUAUCUUCAGUUCCUAUGUGUUCUUGCAUUUUAUUGUGUAUGGAACUACUCUCUAUCUUUGGUGUGAGGGCGCAUGAUUUGCGAAAGAAAGGUAAUGUCUUUGGCCUCUAAGUUAGAGUACGUGAGUAGCUUUUGAAAUACGUGGCGCAUGUGAGUCGAGUCUUGAGGCUAGGAUAUUAUGAUAGAGUGCUUAGUCUGCUUUAAAUAUUCUUGACAUGAUGAGUUAAGGAAGUUGUAUGAUAAGAAGGUCAUCUCUAUGUGAAGUGCAGUUUGAUUGCUCGAGGACGAGCAAUGAUUUAAGUGUGGGGUGUUGAUGGUAGACUAGAAACUCGUAUUUUAGUCCUAGUUUUCACUCCAAUUACUGUAUUUUACUUGUGUUUGAGUUUAAAUGUUAGUGCAUUGCACUUAUUGUGCGUUUUAUACCUUGCAGGAAGUGAUUCGGAGUUAAAAAGAUAAUCUGGAGCUAAAUCGAACAAUUUGAAGCUUUGAAAUCUGAGUAAAAGUCCAAGUAAAUCGAACAAUUUCGGCUUGGAAAGGGUAGUUUCGCCCGACCCCCUCCUACAUGGUAUAAAUACACCAAAACAUAAUUUUGAAGGGACUUUUGACCUUGGAAGCUUUGGGAGAGCAUUGGAUGCAACAAAACACAUGAUUUCAUGUUCUUUCCAUCUAUUCAAUAUUUGACUUUGGAUUGUAACGUUAUAUUGAUAUUUUCUUACUCUGUAAUUAUAUUUGUGAUGACUUCUUCCAUGAUUAUGGAGUAGUUUCCCUUAGGGUUUGACGGAUAUGGUAUUUUGAUAAAUAUUUGUGGAUUUUAACUCUAGUUUCUUGCUUGAAUUCGUUUAUGGAGCUUUGAAUUGUUGCAACUUUAUUAAGAGCUUGUUGAAUUGUUUGAUUAAAUCAAGUUAGGAAAAUGUUCGAAAGACGUUUUCCUGAAGACUAAUCCAUUAAUGCAUGCUUGCAUAUUUCACAGUGCUUAUAUUAGUUUACCUCGUAGAGUUAAGAUUUAAUUGAGAGAAGAGUCUUGACUACACGUUUGAACUAAUCAUCGAGUGAAUUCGUGAGAAUCAUUAGAAUAUUAGAGUGAAUUAAACUAGAGUUAAAUCCGAAAUAGAUAUCUUGCACCUAUCCUGUAAUGACCCAUAUUCCCCACAUUGAUAAGAAACCAACUAUGUUAAUCUCCAAUUAUUUGCAGUCAAUUGUCAAUUGCUUUACUUUAGUAGUUAAUUAUAGUCGUAAUCAAUCCAAAUCAAGUUUUGAUCAUCCUGAAUAGCAGUUAAACCAGAAGUUACUAGAGAAUUAUUUAAAUCCAAUCCAUGUGGAGAUGAAAUUUAACUAUAUUAUCUUUUGGCUAGCGAUCAUCAAUUUCGUAUUGUGCUCGUCAAAUUUUGAUGUCAUUGCUGGGGAUUGGCAAUCAAUAGUGUUCAAAAUAGUUUUUGGUUCUAAUUCAGGAACCUAUUUUAUUUUAUUCUUCACGGGUUUUCUCUUCCGUGUACAAACAACAAGUUGACUUUUCUGGUGUUUGACUAGAUCUUCUUCAAAAGAAUUGAUUCCAUACAAUCUAGAGGUGGAAAAGAGUAUGUGACAGUUGAGGAAAGAGAAAGAACUCAUCGGAAAGUUCUUGGGGAAAUCUUCAACCCAAUAACUUGUCACGACCCCAAUUUUCCUCUGUAGGAUGUCGUGAUGACACCUAGUGUCUAAGACUAUGUAAGCUAAACAAACAUACGGAAAUAACUAAAAUAACAAGUGAACUCUCAAAUACUCAAUAAUUUAAUAAAGAAAACUCCACAACUCGGCAUAUACAAUUUCCCCAAAACCUGGUGAUAUCGAGUCACAAGCUCUACAUUGGUGGCAUAAUCAUCCCUAUACAAUUGUAUCUAAUAAAAAAAGGAAGAUAUAUAAAUAAAUAGAGGGUGACUCCGAGGCCGGCGGACGCUGGCAGGUGUACCUUGAAGUCUCCAAGUACGAACUCAACUCACUGAUGCCUGGAUUAGUAGGAGGUACAUGGAUUUGCACAAAAUAUGUGCAGAAGCGUAGCAUGAGUACACCAUAACGGUACCCAGUAAGUGCCAAGCCUAACCUUGAUAGAGUAGUGACGAGGUCAGGUCAAGGCCCUACUGGAAUAAAUAAGAAUCAGGACGAAUAAUUUAACAAUGCAAUAAUAAUAACAAUGGAAAUGAAAUAAGUAAGGAGUAUGCAAAAAUUAAACUACACAGAAUCAAGGCAAAUAAUGCAUUACGGAAGAAAAUAAGAAAUGUUAAAUCAAGGAAACGAAACAACCAAACACAAGUGAAGUAAUAGAGAAAUACCAACAAGAGUCUCUACUGAGAUACCACCUCGUAGUCUCAAACCACAAAAAUAAUCCAUAAUCUUAUCUUAUAUCACCGCGGGAGCCUUGCAUUUAGUUUUGAAAAUUAUUUUUCCUGAAAUAGUAUCUGGCGUUUUAGCCCACCCUAUCGCACCAUAUGGCUUCCAGCAGUUUCCCUAUUAGCCACGCGUAUCAAGCCUACCUUAUCUCACCGCAUGCAUUUCAACCCCAAAACCUUACACCACCGCAUGCGUAUCAAUAUCACAACGUAUCACAAAUCACACCUCAAGUUCCCAAUGUCACAACGUGCUAAAGAAACCAAUAACAAUGAUGUUCUCACAAUAAAUAGCCCAUGGCUCAACCACAAUGUACACAAGAGUCUCAACAAUAACAACCGGAAGUGAAUAACUCAACAAGAAUAGUAUUUCACAACUUAACAUUUUGCCUCAAUGUGAAUCACGGCCUUUAUACCUCAAUACCAAUUUUAACAACAAGAUAUUCCAAGAAUAACAACUUCAAGUAGAGAAUUCAAUGGUUACAUAAUGAAUACGGAAUAAAGAAAACAAAAACUUCAACUAAACAUGUAGAGCAAUUAACAAGUAAGAGAUAAGACAAGUAGAGCAUGCGAAGAUAGAUUAAUGAUGAUGAAUAUAACAUGUUAAGACAACUCAAUUACGGCAUGAAAGGAAUCUACAUGGCUAAAACGGGUAAAUUUCUACAUUUAGCCCAUGUACACACUCGUCAUCUUGCGUACACAACUUUCACACAUCACAAUUAUCACAAAGCAACACUAAUCCUAAGGGGUGAUUCCCUCACACAUAGUUAGGCAAGACACUUACCUCAAAACACGCUAAUUCAAUCCACUAGUAAGCCUUUCCGUUGAUUAUCCAACUCUAAACGGCUCGAAUUUAACCAAAACAACUUCAUAUAAAUAUAAACUAUAGGAAACUAAUUUGAACAAUAAAGUUACGAUCUUUGCAAAUAAAUAAAAAAAUUAACUCAAUAGUCAACCAGGGCCCGCGUCUCGAAAACCCAACUAAGAUUACAAAAUUCAGACACCCAUUCGAUAACGAGUCCAACCAUACAAGAAUUACUCAAAUCCAACCUCAAAUCGCCUUUCAAAAUCCAAAACAUUAGUCUAGGAAGUUUUCACCAUCCCCCCACCCCCUAAUUUUCAACUCAAAUCACUAAUUAGAUGAUGAAAAUAACAACAGAUUAAUGAAGUAUAGUAAAAUUCGGGCUAAAAUCACUUACUCCAACGAUUUUCUUGAAAAACUCUCGAAUAAUCGCCUUACACCGAGAUCUCUAGGUCAAAAAUAUGAAAAAUGAGAUGAAACCUUCGUUUUUGAAAUUUUAUUCUGCUUCCCAGUCGUUCUUCUUUGCGAUCACGAAGCACAAAUUCACAGCUGCCAAAAAUAUCUCUUUUUGAACGCGAAAUUACAAAACUCCAUAAGCUACACGAUCGCGGAACCCUUCACGCGAUCGCGAAGAACAAAAUGUGUGGACCCUCAGUCCCCUCAUUCCUUCUUCGUGGACAUGACCAAUGGCACGUAUUCAGGAUUCACCGACUCUCCAAACAUCGUGAUCGCGUGACGCUUCUCGCGAUCGCAUAGAACAACUUUCACCAGCUCACCGGACUGCUCUUCGCAGUCGUGAAUCCCCACUCACAAUCGCUGAUCCACGUCCAAUCUACACUCAAUAGUAAGUAGAAACGGUCAUUGGAAGAAUAGUAUCCAACAUGAGUCGGGGUCGAUUUUCACAUGGAGUUUAAUAUGGGUGUUAGGGGUAUACACUUGACGAAAGCAAAUGGAACAACUAGAUUGCACUUCGAAAUAAAGGGUUUUGAUUUUUAAUUCUAAUUUUACUCAAACAAUUAUAAGCUAAGAGAAGAAACUAAAAAGCAAAUGAUUGUUUUCGUUGUUUUUCCAAUUGAUUAAAAAGCCCAGGGAUAAGACCUUAACUAGGUGUUCGCCUAAUGGGUUAAAUACGUUAACACUUGUUUUAUUGAUUGGGGUGUAUUAUAGCUCUCAACUCUAAGUUACCCACUCAAUACCUCUCAGUCAUAAAAUAUUUUUUCCCAAUUUGGCUUUCUCAAGCCUAAGUGGGUAUCAAGCUAAAUAGUUGAUAUGAGCUCAAGUCGGGUUCUCACUGUCUCUAGUUAAAACCCUUUAAUUAGGCUAAUCAAACCCUUAAUUAGCCCAAUUUCUUGUUAGUCAAGUUUUUCUAGACUAGGUACCUCUUUCUCAAGUAAGAACCAAGUCAAAUAGGCAUGAAUCAGUGUUUGCAACUAUUAAUUCUAAAAUUAAAGCAUAAACAAGGCUAAAUAAUCAACACCCAAUCAUAAACAAGUAUUAAAUUAAAUACCCAUAAGGUUUACACACUGAUCACAACCCUAGUAAGAGUCUAGCUAAUCAUAAUGAAAAAUGAAGAAAACAAAGAAGAAAUUAAACUCAUAAUCUAAGGUUAAAAUAAUAAAAUAUGAUGUUUAAAUCCCAAAAUAGUCAUAAACUUCUUAAAAUAGCAAAAUACAACGGCUACAGCAGCUCAAACUUCGAAUCUUGCUCUAAAAAUAUGAUUUUCAUCUAUUUAUACUGCCCCAUAAAUUCGUUGACAAAAAUGUCCCUCGGGAGGUUCUGCGGCCGCACAAUUCCAUGUGCGGUUCGAAGAUUGCUUCACCUUUCAAGAACAUGGAUUCUGCAUCCACACAAUUUGUUAUGCGGUUGCAAUGCAUCUUCUACGGCUGCACAACUUGUGUGGUCCACACUUAAGGCAAGGUUUCAAGUCUUGGUCAUUUGCACACUUUAACUUUGAAUUCUUUAUCAGUGCGGACCUUGUUAUGCAUUCAUGUGCGGUCCACACAUCAACUAAAAUUUUGCUGGGCUUCUUCAGUUGUUCUACUGCCGCAAAGGGAAUUCUGUGGUACGAACUUUCUUUUGCGGGUACAGAAAUACAUCUGCAGACCGCACAUCUUAUGUUCUGCGCCCCUUCUUGCCUUGUGAGGUAGAACACUCCUUUUUGAAUCGGAUUUCAUCAUGAGAGCCCAAACUUCCAAUAUUCCUGCAAUUUGUACACUUUCAUUAGUUUUGGGAACAUAAAUCAAUACUUUCGGACUAAAAUAAAAACAAAAAGGUUCUAAUAAGUGGUCAAAAUCCACACUUAUCAACUCCCCCAAACUUAAGUCUUUGCUUGUCCUUGUAAGCAAGUAAUUUUUGACCCGCGCAACUUUUAAAAGUAGUAUUUCAAAAAUAUUUGUUUAUUUUUAUUUUUAAUAGUUUUAUAACAUUUUUUAGCUUAUUAGUAUUUUAUAAUAUUUAUAACAUUUUAAAAAAAAUAAACACCAAAAAUAUUUUCAUUUUAAUAUAUAGUUCACUUUAAUAAUAACUAAGAUUAAUUAGUAUAUUUUGGUAGUAUUUUUAUUUUUAAUCAAUGAGAAAGAAUUAAAUUUGGGCCAAUUGUGAGUUCAUUUUCGGAUUUUAGUGGCCCAGCAAGACAAAUGCUCAUUCUUCUCAAUUCUUCUCAUCAAACCCCUCCCUUAAUCAUAGCCAUUGAUCUACUAUCAUCCAAGUCCCAUACUCACUCCCCGCUACCAUAUAAAAACCAAAUUAACAUCCAAAAACCCUAAGCUAAUUACCCCACUUCAGACACAAAAGACUCCAGCAGCCACCCCUUCUUCAAAAAUCAAAACCAUACACCUAAAAUCAGCGGCACCUAAAAGUUGUAGUUUGGUGAUGAUAUUUUCAGCAAGUUAAAAAAAAACAUUGUGAGUCGAAUAUUAACAGAUCGGCUAAACCAGAACAUCUCUAUACAAAGGUUCAGAUUUGAACACCACCAGAUUUCGGCCUGAAAUUGUUCAGAUUAGCCGGUCUUGCGAUUUUUCGACGAUUCAAGUUUCGAUUUUCUAUUCGAGGUUACUUUGCCGGUCCGAGGUUCUAGUUAGUACCUCGUUUGAGAGUUGCUAUUUCUUUGGUGUUUGCUUGCUUUGUAUACAGCAAAAAGGUUAGAAUCCAAUAACAAAAAGUCUAUUUUCAUUUACAUAUGAUUUUAGUUGGUUUCUAGUUUGAAAAUGUGACUUUCUCCUGUCACAUUAGUAAGUGACGCUGUGAUUUAUGAAUGUGCUAUGCUUCCUCUGUUAGUCUCUUGAAUUAGUUUCAUUAUUGAGGAUCUUGAUUAGGAGGAGAUGAUAAUGAAAAUUCUUGGGUAAUGCAACUAUUUUCAUUUGAGUUUCAAUUGGGUAGUUACUGCUUUUAACAAUGUGACAAUGAUCUUUAACAAUGUUCUUGUGCCGAACAAGUUUAAUCUCGAGGCCUCAUUGAUUUUAGUCAAUAGAUUAAGAUAAAUGUCUCAUAAUUUUAAAGGUAGAGUAGAUAACUCCUUCCAUAGUUAUCAUGCCUUACAAUAAUCUCUAAUUAGCUUUAGGAAAUAGUUAAUGAACAUCGUAGCUCGCUUUAGGCACUAUUAAUAAUAAAUCCUCGCGACUAUGGAUACGGUUCCCAUGGCAUAGUAGUGAUACAUAAA